rnacentral:rRNA from 1 species
UUCCAGAGAUGGAUUGGUGCCUUCGGGAACUGUGAGACAGGUGCUGCAUGGCUGUCGUCAGCUCGUGUUGUGAAAUGUUGGGUUAAGUCCCGCAACGAGCGCAACCCUUAUCCUUUGUUGCCAGCGAUUAGGUCGGGAACUCAAAGGAGACUGCCAGUGAUAAACUGGAGGAAGGUGGGGAUGACGUCAAGUCAUCAUGGCCCUUACGACCAGGGCUACACACGUGCUACAAUGGCGCAUACAAAGAGAAGCGACCUCGCGAGAGCAAGCGGACCUCAUAAAGUGCGUCGUAGUCCGGAUUGGAGUCUGCAACUCGACUCCAUGAAGUCGGAAUCGCUAGUAAUCGUGGAUCAGAAUGCCACGGUGAAUACGUUCCCGGGCCUUGUACACACCGCCCGUCACACCAUGGGAGUGGGUUGCAAAAGAAGUAGGUAGCUUAACCUUCGGGAGGGCGCUUACCACUUUGUGAUUCAUGACUGGGGUGAAGUCGUAACAAGGUAACCGUAGGGGAACCUGCGGUUGGAUCACCUCCUUACCUUAAAGAAGC